GGGCCUAUAGCUCAAUUGGUUAGAGCAGCGGACUCAUAAUCCGUUGGUUGCAGGUUCAAGUCCWGGCUGGGCCCACCA
rnacentral:tRNA from 1 species